rnacentral:rRNA from 1 species
CAGUCGAACGAAGCUUGACGAAUGAUUUCUUCGGAAUGAAAUCUGAUAUGACCGAUUGGCGGACGGGUGAGUAACGCGUGAGCAACCUGCCCUUCGGAACGGGAUAGUGUCUGGAAACGGACAGUAAUACCGUAUAACGUAUUUUUACCGCAUGAUAGAAAUACCAAAACUGAGGUGCCGAAGGAUGGGCUCGCGUCUGAUUAGAUAGUUGGUGGGGUAACGGCCUACCAAGUCGACGAUCAGUAGCCGGACUGAGAGGUUGAUCGGCCACAUUGGGACUGAGACACGGCCCAGACUCCUACGGGAGGCAGCAGUGGGGAAUAUUGCACAAUGGAGGAAACUCUGAUGCAGCGAUGCCGCGUGAGGGAAGAAGGUUUUAGGAUUGUAAACCUCUGUCUUCAGGGACGAAAAAAAAGACGGUACCUGAGGAGGAAGCUCCGGCUAACUACGUGCCAGCAGCCGCGGUAAUACGUAGGGAGCGAGCGUUGUCCGGAAUUACUGGGUGUAAAGGGAGCGUAGGCGGGAUCGCAAGUCAGAUGUGAAAACUAUGGGCUUAACCCAUAAACUGCAUUUGAAACUGUGGUUCUUGAGUGAAGUAGAGGUAAGCGGAAUUCCUAGUGUAGCGGUGAAAUGCGUAGAUAUUAGGAGGAACAUCAGUGGCGAAGGCGGCUUACUGGGCUUUAACUGACGCUGAGGCUCGAAAGCGUGGGGAGCAAACAGGAUUAGAU